UCUGACGUCGGAACGGUUAACAACUCUUGUCGCGGCGUUCUCACCCAACAAACCAUCGGUGAAUCCAUCAGGAGUCCAGGCCUGUACGUCGGUUCAUUCCGAAGCGUCAACGUUCGCAGCUACUGUCAGUAGUGCAGAAGCAAUCCGCAGCCGGAAUUCGCUGCCACCCGUCAUCACAUAGCCUUUUCGAGCGAUCAGCGUUCUGGAUUGGCCCCGCCCGUUGCGUCUCGUGGCCGUUGGCCGUCGAGAAAGAAGAGGAGCUGAGGAGGAAGGGCUGGAGCAGGUUCAGGCGUUCAGCCAUGCUUGAGGUCGUGAUAUCCAUCCCGGCGAUCCUCCUGGUGAUCCUCCUGGCGCUAGGGUGCUACCUGUUCGGCCGCAACCGCGGCCGCGCCGAGGCGGCCGCGGCGCCGCAGCAGUUCGCGCCGCCGGCGCCGCCGCCAGGACUGCCGCCGCCCAAGUAGCAGGGCGGCUAGUCUUCAUGCACAUGUCCUUUCUCCGCUUGGUGCAUGCUAGUUCUGCAUAGUGUGUUGGCUCAUGCUGUGUGAUUUCCUCUCCCUUGCUAGGUUGUGGAUUGUUUUUCCUUGUUUCUUUCACGAUUUUGUAUGUCGAGACUCGAGAUGUUUGAGUUUUCCAGUUCUAAUUUGUGCAAACUUUGUGUCUCCCGCGCUGUCUAUCUGAUUGCGUUGUCGUAAA